UGGUCAUUUCCAAGGCUUUUAGAAUACAGUUUCUCAUUUACUGUGGACAUGAACAUAAAAACAUUUCCCACUAGGUUUUCUCUCUGCUUACCUAGCUAGCAAUCAGCAUUCUUGGAACUUUU